CUUUUGUAGGUAUGCAUUUAGAUGUCAUCCAAAGGUUAAAGAUGGGAGGCGUCAUCUUGUAACAGUUAACGACAUUGCAUUUAAUCCAUCCAUUAUAGGUUCAUUUGUUACUGGUGACAAUGAUGGCUAUGCCACCUUGUGGGAUGCUCGAGGAAGGAAACGGAUAUUUGAGAUGUCAAGAUAUCCCAACAGUGUCAUCUCUCUAUCAUAUAGCCAUGAUGGAUUACUUUUAGCAGUUGCAUCCAGUUAUUCAUACCAAGAAGCUAACGAAAUAGAAGAGCCACCUCAGAUAUUUAUACAUGAAAUGGGGAACUGUGAUCUUACGUCACCUUCUUCUGGAGCUUCAAACCAAAAAUGACUGCUAAUACACAACUCAGAUUAUGGUUGUUGCUCGUCUUUCCUUAUUGUAAGUGAGCUCUUAACCAGAAAAUUCUGCUGGUACCUGCGCACAAGUUGGCUUUUCCUGGCUCACCUUCUCUGGUAGCUAUCUGACUCUUACUGAGAUUACAAGGCAAGGACUCAACAGAAAAUUGGACACCGGAAUGUAGAAUUUUCAGACUGAUGUAACGUCUUGUCCAGUUGAUGUAUCGGUGUCUAGCAUAUUGUUUGCAGAGUGGAAUGUAUUUUCGAAUUUAAUUUUUCAUCAACAGUGAAAGUUAGUGCUCAUA